rnacentral:rRNA from 1 species
CUACGGGGCGCUGCAGUGGGGAAUAUUGCACAAUGGGGGAAACCCUGAUGCAGCAACGCCGCGUGGAGGAUGACGCAUUUCGGUGUGUAAACUCCUUUUAUAUAGGAAGAUAAUGACGGUACUAUAUGAAUAAGCACCGGCUAACUCCGUGCCAGCAGCCGCGGUAAUGACGGAGGGUGCAAGCGUUACUCGGAAUCACUGGGCGUAAAGCGCGCGCAGGCGGCCUUUUAAGUUGGAUGUGAAAGCCUAUGGCUUAACCAUAGAACUGCAUCCAAAACUAUCAGGCUAGAAUCUGGGAGGGGAAGAUGGAAUUAGUUGUGUAGGGGUAAAAUCCGUAGAGAUAACUAGGAAUACCAAAAGCGAAGGCGAUCUUCUGGAACAGUACUGACGCUGAGGCGCGAAAGCGUGGGGAGCAAACAGGAUUAGAUACCCUAGUAGUC